rnacentral:tmRNA from 1 species
GGGGAUGUCAUGGUUUCGACGUGGUUACGGAGUUUUAAGUAGCAGGCCGUUUCCCAAAACGUAAAAUUGGAACUUAAAUAUAAAUGCAAACAACAAUAGCGAAAGACAAUUCGCAUUAGCUGCCUAAUUAAUGGCAAGCAACAAAUUUUAAAAGUUAUCGCGCUUUUUUAAUUUGUUUCAUAUUUUUUGCGAUAAACUAUUUGCACAAAGCUUUGAGUGUAAAGAAGUAUUAUGAAGCUACCUUUUCAAACGAUUUGUCAGUUAAUUGAUGAUUAUGGGAAACUUUUUAAUUGACUAAGCUUGUAGAAACUUUUUAUGAAGUCUCUACGGACAUGGGUUCGACGCCCAUCAUCUCCACCA